AACGAACGCUGGCGGCAGGCUUAACACAUGCAAGUCGAGCGCCCCGCAAGGGGAGCGGCAGACGGGUGAGUAACGCGUGGGAAUCUACCCAUCUCUACGGAAUAACGCAUGGAAACGUGUGCUAAUACCGUAUACGUCCUUCGGGAGAAAGAUUUAUGGGAGAUGGAUGAGCCCGCGUUGGAUUAGCUGGUUGGUGGGGUAAAGGCCUACCAAGGCGACGAUCCAUAGCUGGUCUGAGAGGAUGAUCAGCCACACUGGGACUGAGACCCGGGCCAGACUCCUACGGUAGGCAGCAGUGGGGAAUAUUGGACAAUGGGCGCAAGCCUGAUCCAGCCAUGCCGCGUGAGUGAUGAAGGCCCUAGGGUUGUAAAGCUCUUUCACGGGUGAAGAUAAUGACGGAAACCGGAGAAGAAGCCCCGGCUAACUUCGUGCCAGCCGCCGCCGUAAAAC
rnacentral:rRNA from 1 species